rnacentral:rRNA from 1 species
UACGUAGGGUGCAAGCGUUGUCCGGAAUUAUUGGGCGUAAAGAGCUCGUAGGCGGUUCGUCGCGUCGGCUGUGAAAUCCCCGGAGCUCAACUCCGGGUCUGCAGUCGAUACGGGCGGACUCGAGUUCGGCAGGGGAGACUGGAAUUCCUGGUGUAGCGGUGAAAUGCGCAGAUAUCAGGAGGAACACCGGUGGCGAAGGCGGGUCUCUGGGCAACAACUGACGCUGAGGCGCGACAGCGUGGGGAGCAAACAGG